rnacentral:rRNA from 1 species
UACAGAGGUCCCGAGCGUUGUUCGGAUUCAUUGGGCGUAAAGGGUGCGUAGGCGGUCUUCUAAGUUUGAUGUGAAAUCCCGGGGCUCAACCCUGGAAUUGCAUUGAAUACUGGAGGACUAGAGUACCGGAGAGGAAACUGGAAUUUACGGUGUAGCAGUGAAAUGCGUAGAGAUCGUAAGGAAGACCAGUGGCGAAGGCGAGUUUCUGGACGGUAACUGACGCUGAGGCACGGAAGGCCAGGGGAGCAAACGGG